rnacentral:rRNA from 1 species
AACGCGAAGAACCUUACCAAGGCUUGACAUGUAGAGGAAAAGUGCAGAAAUGCACUUCCCGCAAGGUCUCUACACAGGUGGUGCAUGGUUGUCGUCAGCUCGUGUCGUGAGAUGUUGGGUUAAGUCCCGCAACGAGCGCAACCCUCGUCCUAUGUUGCCAGCACGUUAUGGUGGGAACUCAUGGGAUACUGCCGGGGUCAACUCGGAGGAAGGUGGGGAUGACGUCAAAUCAUCAUGCCCCUUAUGUCUUGGGCUUCACGCAUGCUACAAUGGCCAGUACAGAGGGCUGCAAUACCGUAAGGUGGAGCGAAUCCCAAAAAGCUGGUCUCAGUUCGGAUUGAGGUCUGCAACUCGACCUCAUGAAGUCGGAGUCGCUAGUAAUCGUAGAUCAGCAACGCUACGGUGAAUACGUUCCCGGGUCUUGUACACACCG